CCCUGCCUCCCUGCUUACCAGCAUCACUCAUCCUGUUCCUGGUUCUCUUUGUUUUGCCAUGUGGCCAUCACCAUAAAAAUCAGAACCAAACUCCAAACAAGAAUGUCUGGAAUAUCAAGAGUAAUGAUGUACAGAGUCCCUUCUGGCCCCAGCUUCUAUUGAAAAAUAAUUGGAUGAAUUGAGGAUGCUUACAUUUCAUCUACCCUGUCACUACUUCUAGAUUAUCAAAGGAGAAGGAGGUUUUGGAGAGCACCGCAAUAAAGAUGGACCAUGAAGACAGCCGGGGAGUGUGGAUUGCUGGUUCUGUGAGAUAAAAUUCUGUGUCAAAGACUGAAAUGGAACUCGUUCCUCUAGAAAGCUGGGCCACUGCUUUGGCUACAGCACCAUCCACCUGCCAAACAACAACCAGCAGCCACGUCCAAGACCAGCGGAGCACCCACACAACAAAAAUGAGACGUGUGUGUGCAGCUAGAGACAAGAGUCCAUCAGGGUCCAGAGCCUUCCUGAUACGGCCUCUAACUCUUGCUUCAUCACUUUUAUUGCAGCUUUUCUCUCUUAAAGAUAAA